rnacentral:lncRNA from 7 species
ACACUUGGCCGCCCCUCUCUCCUUUUCCCUUGGGCUGGCUGUCCUCUCCUCCCAUGGCAGCCCCUCUCCACGGCUUCCUCCUCCCUCUAGAUCUCCCCCCGCGCAGCAAGGAUCGAGAAGAGGAGGAGCACAUUGAAUUGAAGGGGAAGAGAGGAUCAAGAGAUGUUCUUCCCCAUCUCUUCUUGCAAAAUUUCUUGGGGAAACCCUAGGUGGCUACACUCCAGAUCAUGCCUAGUACAUUUUUCUUCUUCGAUGAAGGUGCUUGUUGCUCAUCAAGGGAAGUGGGAAGUAGCAGCACAUCCACCUUCACUCUCAUAAUAACGCUGCUUAGGCGCAGUCAUGAUUUAAUUAGAAACUUCUUGUCAAAGGAUGUUGUUUCUAACUAGUUGUGCGCACUAGUUGAUUUAGUUCAUGUCGUUAUGGUUGUCUUUCCAUUGCUAGCAGAUUAUUAAUGUCUAUUAUGUUCUCUUAUCAUGAUAUCUAUUUAUAUUUUGUUGCUUCCCCGUUUAUGUAAUUUUCAAAGGGGAUGCUGUCGAAAUUUUAUAUAUGAAUGUUAGAUGUGUAGUUUAGUAGCAUUCUGGGUGUUUGAGGAUCCCGGGGUGUUACAUUAUCUUAAACAAAUUAAUACUGCGAGGGGCUACUGUUGGGGGCCUUCGUCCUCCGAAGGUCCUCAAAAACGUGAUUUAACAAUGUCUUCCAAGUAUGGCAUAUGAACAGGUACCUUCAGACUCAGGUUAAAGGCAUACACGAUGAGAAAAGCAUGAUCGUGACGAAGGUUGCUGUUGCUCCGAAGCUACGCGCAAGGGAGCUUCGGCUCAAUGGCGGAAAAAGGAACCGACUUAAAGGGGAAAAGGCUAUCUAGUCCUCAUAGAUUUGUCUAUAAGUCAAAAGUAAAUGUAAAGGGCAUGAAUGUAAUUUCUCACAGGCUGUGUCCUGUGCCUAUAAAUAGAUGAACAGUACCCCCGUACUGGGGACGCUGACUGGUAU